GCCCGGUAGCUAAGUGCGGAAAAGAUAAGCGCUGAAAGCAUCUAAGCGCGAAACUUGCCUCAAGAUGAGUCUUCCCUGGGCCUUUAAGGCCCCUGAAGGAACGUUUAAGACUAAGACGUUGAUAGGCUGGGUGUGUAAGUGCAGCGAUGCAUUGAGCUAACCAGUACUAAUGAUCCGUGAGGCUUAACCUUACAACACCGAAGGUGUUUUAG
rnacentral:rRNA from 1 species